UAUAAAAUUAACCCGCAACGCUGAAGCAGUAGUCACUUCAGGUCUGCCUUUUGCCCCGUUAACGUGGUGUGCUAGAGGCUAAGUCAAGAUGGCCGCGGAUCUCAGUGCUCGUGAUGUUGAGAGGGUGAAAUUCGCCUUCUCCAUCUACGACUUCGAAGGCAAUGGCACCAUGGAUGCCUUCUACAUUGGCGACUGCCUUCGAGCCUUGAACCUCAACCCUACCUUAGCUGUCAUAGAAAAGGUUGGAGGCAAGGAAAAGAGGAAGGAGAAGAUGAUCAAGUUGGAGGAAUUCAUGCCUGUCUUCGCUCAGGUUAAGAAGGACAAGGACGCCGGCUCCUACGAAGAUUUCAUGGAGGUCCUCAAGCUCUACGACAAGUCUGAGAACGGCACCAUGAUGUACGCUGAGCUUGAACACAUCCUCAUGUCCCUUGGUGAGCGUCUCGAAAAGUCCGAAUUGGAGCCCGUACUGAAGGAAUGCUGCGACGAGGAGGAUGAAGAAGGCUUCAUUCCUUACGAGCCUUUCCUUACGAAACUCUGCAAAAGCAUCAAGUAAAACUCCAGAAUCAUGCCGUUCCUUAAGAGAAUUUUGAGCUUCAAAAUCUAGAGGACAAUUCUACUUUCCUGAAGAAGAUGACCGCCUUGCUCUAAAUACGUCCGCCAUCUUCUUUUGUGACGUCAUCAGAGUGCGCAUGCGUGCAACACCACCGCCAUUCGGAGUGUCAGUGUGCAGUGUACAAUCAUUCUGUGGGCUCGACCAAACCACAGACAUUUAUUAGCCAUAUUACACAAAAAUAUAAUCUAUGGAAAAAAAAAGCGAAUAUGAGUGAAAAAAAUUUAUUUCCAUAUUUAAGAAAUGUGAGCCACCCGUUACAUGCUCAUUAUGUCCUUCUGUCUGUAUGUGUGUGUGUGUGUUCGUGUAGCGUCGAAGGUCCCAUGGAUCAGUUGAACGUCUCCUUUCUCAUCCACGCGGGGUGAAGGAGGGGUCAAGGCAGCGGCGACUCGUGUUGACUCGUAGACCUGAAGUGACCACUGAGCGAUCCGCCUAUAGUUGACUACCCGACACCACCUGGAGGUAGGAAGCUAGAAGCCAUUAAAACGACGCCCGCGGCCCAGCCCAGACGACCAUCCAUCGCCAUCUUUCCUGGGCGGCACGGGACCGUCACAGAAAUAAAAUACAAAACAUCUGACAUCCAGCAUCACGGCCGCCCGCUGCCUUCAUUGACCCCUCGUCCCCAUGAGUGCCUCUGAACGCGCCCAGCGAGGUGACCAGGGGGAGUGUCUCAGUCAGCCAGUCAGUAAACAAAGGCCCCACAGUCAGUCGUCAGUCAGUCAGUCCGCUUGGAACGGCAUCGUUACCAACUGCUGUCUGUAGACACAUUGGUUAAGUUCUUUAUCGUCUCAAUAAAACAAAACAACAUCA